rnacentral:lncRNA from 1 species
CCCGAUGUCCAACAUAGGUCCACGAUCAGUACACAUAGGAGGAGACAAUCAAAAUAUGGACAGAAAAUAAAUAUUUAAUAUGUAAAUGGUAGGUGACAAAUCUGGCCACAAAAUUGUACAAACAACCCAUUGGCUAGUUUUAUUGAAUAUUAAAAUAACAUAGUUGAUUUAUAAAACAUACAAAAUUUAUGAUCUCAUCAGCACAUAAUUAUUUUGAGAACCAUAAGGUUGGGAUUUAUCCACCCAAAAUAGGGGUGAUAACGAAACUAUUGUGUUGCUGCUGCUGCUGGUGUGCAAUUAAUCUUGCAGGGACAGUUGAUGAAGCAUUCUCCGAGAUUUGGCCAGCACAAUUUAUCUAUUUUACAGCAGAAUUCCCGUCCUGGGAGCUGGUGCCCAUCUUUAUAACAAGGGGGUCUCGUUACAUGGCUUACUUUCGUCAUCAUGUUGCUCCCCUUGUCAUUUAUGAUUUCGCCUAAUUAACAUAAAAUAAAGAAUACACUUAUCAUCUCAUCAUAUAAACAAAUAAAAGUCCACAAUCUCAACCCCCCCAUAAAAAUCGAGUUGUUAAUUACCAUAUGUGCCUCCAAGACAAGUCAAACAAACCACAAGAAGAAAAGAAAGUAGCACUAGUCCUUGCACAUUGUUCCUCAUGUACUUGGUCAUCAUCUUCGGGGAACAGAGGCUAUUAAUGGGUGGUACUCUUGUAAGUGGAGUUGAUGAGUGUAUGACCGUGAAAUGCUUGCUCCAUGAAUGGUUCAUAUAUAUAUAGUGAAAGCUUCUCCACAUUGAUGUGUGAAGUUGAAGAAAAUAUUAAUGCUUGGAGUUAUGGCUUGUCGGAAUGUCCAAUUUUAGUUUCACUUCUAAAGAUUCAUGGUUCCUUCUAAAGUUUUUUUUUCAAAUUGAUGCUUUGUCAUAUCGUGUAAGUUACUUUAAUGCCCCAUCUAGAAUUGAUCGCUUAUUGUUUCCGAGGGGUAGAAUUGACCUAUUAUAAUGGGUAGCAAAAAACUGGUGCAUGUUAAUAUUAUAGUUAAGGCAUUGUUGAUAAUUGGUAUAGUAUCAAUAAUUCCUAUAUAUAUGAUGCCUUCUCUGUAUAAUUAUUAAUUUCUCUCUUGGUAUAAGAGAACAAAAUUUAAAAUUCACCAAGACUCAUCCACUUAACAUUGGACUUGCUUUUUAAAUGUAUAUAAGAAACUAUUCUUAAGUAUAUCAACAAUUUACAUGUAAUUUUAUUUUACUUUUUUCGCAUGAACAUAGAUUAAUUAUGGGAUGACCAUUUUAUAAAUAUAAGUUGAUGAUAUAUUGUCAUAUACAUGAACAUUUUAUAUCGAGGUACUUGAGCAUUUUUUUUCAUUUUUCUAUACACAAAUAUUUCUCCAAUAUUAAGUCGAUUUUGAUUUUUUAAAUAGAUUAGAUUCCCCGAAACUGUCUUUAUUAGAAUAGUAAGAAUUUCGCGUUGACCUGGCUAGGGCAAAUUUCGUUAGGCGGAGCUUCCCAAUUCACAGGACUCCCUAUACGCUCCUCCUUGCGGCUAACAACCUCCCCUUCGCACAACGCGCGCCUGACUGGCACGGCCCAUUGAAGAUACGACUGGACAUCAACAAGCGGGAGAGUAGGCGCUGACCUGACCCACUUUAGCAUCAUUUUUUUAUUUUUGAAACAUUUCUUUGGAAAAUGAACAAGCAUUGAUUAAUGUGAACAUAUUUUAAAAACUUUUGAACAUAUUUUUGGAAUUUCAUACAUUUUUCUAAAAAAAAUGAAUACUUUUGAAAAUCUUGAACAAUAUUUGUAAACUAUGACCUUUUCUUGGAAAACCAACAAUUAAUGAAAUACGUGAUAGUUUUAUAAUUUGUACAACAUUUUUAGAAAUUAUGAAUUUUUAGAAAAACAAUUUUUGAAAUUCCGAACAAAACAUGAGAAUGGGAACAUUUUUUGAAAACUAGAACAUUUUGAAAAUUUAAAAGAAAUUGAAAUGUCCGAACAUUUUCAAAAAGGAGACUUUUUGAAAAAGAAAAUAAGAAAAAUAUACAAGAUAAAACAAAGAUAAAAAAGAACCCAAAGAAAACCGGUAAAAGAAACAGAAGGAAAAAAGAACAAACGAAAAUACGAGUAAAAAUCAUAUCAGAACCUUUUGGAAGGUUCCCAAAAUCGGUAAAAGCCCGAAAGGAAUAUUCUGGAAGUUCGUAAAACUAGAGCGGCACGGCCAAAAUGGCUCGGCCGUUCCCGAGCACGAGAGUCAGUUCUGUGUGCAAGCACCCGCAAUUUGACGUUAAAUGCUCAAAUAGGGUUUCCACCAUUUCUCUUGUUUCUUGUUGCCUCAUAUGAGUUUGUUGUUGUUUGGUUCAUAUCUGGGUCGAAGCCCCAAUCACACCCCACCCACCAUUUUAUGCCCUUACACGACUGGCCUUCCUAGAGAUGUCAUGGCGUCAGUGUCGACGCCUUCCCUCACCCCCGUACGAGCCCCUUAUGAUUGACGCUCUUGGCCGCAAUCACGUUUCCCUUCGACCUCACCGUGUUCCUGUCCAAGUGUUUUGGGGUAUAUACUCCUUGGAGCUUUCUGGCAUCAAGAUUAGUUAGACCCCACCUCAACUGGAAGAACUUUGCUGAGAAGAGUUUGGAUGUAGUGAGACCUCUGGUUUGAAAUUGAUAAGUUGCCACCAAGCCAAGCCGUCCAAGUUUAAUCUAUGCACAUCAACUCAUUACUUACUCAACUUAUUUCCUUACAUAUCAAUGUAUGACCCAGCUUUAGCAUCGAGAUGCCAAAAAGGAAAAGAGGGACUAAAGGGCCCAAGGUGGUAGCCCUAGUCCUCCUCCUCCAUGGACUCCUCCGAGUCGUUGUCACUGUCCUCCUGGUGCUCCUCGUGAAUGUCCUCAUCUCGCCAUCGGCACCAUGGAAACCAGACGUAGUAGCGUUGGAGUCAUCUGAGUCGGUCCACUUGUUGAUCUUCCCAAUCCACCUAUCCUCUGAGGUCAUGUUCUUCUCAGAGACAAUCUGCACCUCAAUCUCAAGCUUCCUAUAAUCAUGGUGACCUGGCACUGCCGGGCAAUCUUCUCAGCCACAUGUGCCUUGUACAUAUUCUUCUGAGUAUCCACCUGAAUGCAGAAAAGCUUCUUUAUCUUCUUCUUGAGUUUGAUGUCCCAAGUAGGCUGAUCCGAGGGUGGUACAUAGUCAGGCUCCUCAGAUCCAUCAGACUUUGCUCUUGGGAAAUUGAUCUCUGGUGCAUCUGGCACAACUCCCCAGUUCUCCUUCUGCCUGAGCUUCAUCACAUCAUGAGUGGCAAGCUUGCCAGUCUCUAGGCGCUCAUCUGGAACCUGAGCCGCCGAAGUAGUAGUGAUGAGCUUGCAGAGAUAGGACCCAUAGAUGGGAACCUUCCUAUCAUACAUAGCAGUAGUGAGCUCAUACCACAUCACAUGUCAAACGUCCAGCAUGCUAGUCUUGCUCUUUGCUUCUUGUGAGUUGCGUUGGGAUUUCCCCGAAGAGGAGAGGAUGAUGCAGUAUAGUAGAGAUAAUUAUUUCCCUCAGUUAAGAACAUAGAUUAUCAAUCUAGUAGGAGAACCACACAAGACCUCGUGAAACACCUACACACAAAAGAACAAAUACUUGCACCCAACACAAAGAAGGGGUUGUCAAUCCCUUGGCGGUUAAUUGCAAGGAUCAAGUCUGAUAAUGAUAGAUAGAUAAACAAGAACACAAAAUAAAAUAAAGGUGAAUAAAUUGAAACAAUGUAUUUUUGGAUUUUAAUAUAUGAUAAAAAUAGACCCCGAUCCCUAAGUAUGUUGCGGUAGAUUACUAAAUAGACACAGAACCUUAGAGCUAUUGCUCAAUCCAUCAAUCAUUGUAACGCCUAUACACAAGCAAUAUACAUGAGCACGGGGUAGGAUUUUACCUCAUGCGUGAGGGUAUGAAAAUGGAUAUACCCCUUCUUACUUCCCAUUUGGUUUAAUCGUCUGGCCAGAAUACCUUAUCAAGUUAUCUGCCGAAAAUAACACCACCACCUCAUAAAUGGGCUAGGGCCAGGUAAAUUUUUUUCUCCCUUUUUGUUAUUUUGUUUCUACUUCCGUCUAUGUUUAAAAAUAUUUUAAAUACAUAUAUUUUGGAAUAUUCUUCAUCAAUUAUUAAUACAUUCACCGUGCUUUGAAAAAUGGUCAUGAAAUGUAAUUAUUUGUUUUCACAAUUUGAUAAAUUCUUCAUAUCAUUCAAAAGAAUAUUUGUAUCAUUUUCAAAAAUGUUCGCAUGUUUAAAAAAAUGUGUGAUUUAAAGAAAUAUUUAUUACUAUAUAUAUGAGUCAGGGUAAUUUGUAGAAAAAAACAUACCAUUCAAAAAUCCACUCUCUACCAACUAUAUGCAUGUGUCUUGUAGCAAGCGGUGAGCCGAGGGUUGCUAUCUGAUCAAUUGCUGACUGGGUAGCUCACGAGUGUUUGACAUCUCUCUCUACAUUGGGUAUCCUUUCACACUUGAAUUUUAAGAUGCACGGAAUGUGCUUUCCUUGUUGUUGCCUCAACAUUACAACAUGGAAUCAAAGCAAAACUGAUAUUACUACCCUUAAAAAAUGUCUUGCUAUCUAUGUUCUUAACAUGCCCAUUGGACUGCAUGGCGAAAGUGAAGGUGUGCGCCUAGCUGGUGGUGGAGCAGACACACUCAUCUGUGACCUCCAAUCUAAGUAUGACAUUUACUCUGUAGCGAGUCAAUGGUGCAUGUGGGUUGGAACGCUGCUUAGCAAAUGUAGACUUAAUUUGCAGGCAAGCCAACAUGAAAUCUGUAGGCCCAUGUGAGUUCCAUCAUAAUCACGGUCAGUUCAACUCUGAUUCGAAUCCUAAUAAAAAAGUUGGAUCAACGGUCCUGGAUGGAUAUGUCCAUCACAAGACAUCACAGCAGUUGAUAGAGUCGAUAUGACCUAUAGCUACAGGACACCGACACCCCUCACUUCCUCUACAUGCACUAAACAAACCCUAGCUUAUCCAACUCAAUUUGCUUCAUGGUUUGUGUGCAAAAGAAGAAGUGUUAAAACCAAGCACCAUGCUCUUGAACCUAAGAAACCAAUAGUCAAUUUACCUAUGGAUAUUAUAUACCAUGCUUGAUCUGUCUUGCUGAUAAUACUUACGAAACAUAUUUUAAAUUACAAUGUUUGGUGCUUCACAACCUGUUAUGAAACUAUUGUUCACCCAUCCAAUGCAACAAAAAGUAUGUGAAUGAUGAUAACGCAAUAACGAGUAGAGAGAGAGAGAGAGAGAGAGAGAGAGAGAGAGAGAGAGAGAGAGAGAGAGAGAUAUUAAAGUCCAUUUUUUCCCGAUGUCCAACAUAGGUCCACGAUCAGUACACCUCGGAGGAGACAAUCAAAAUAUGGACAGAAAAUAAAUAUUUAAUAUGUAAAUAGUAGGUGACAAAUCUGGCCACAAAAUUGUACAAACAACCCAUUGGCUAGUUUUAUUGAAUAUUAAAAUAACAUAGUUGAUUUAUAAAACAUACAAAAUUUAUGAUCUCAUCCGCACAUAAUUAUUUUGAGAACCAUAAGGUUGGGAUUUAUCCACCCAAAAUAGGGGUGAUAACGAAACUAUUGUGUUGCUACUGCUGGUGUGCAAUUAAUCUUGCAGGGACAGUUGAUGAAGCAUUCUCCGAGAUUUGGCCAGCACAAGUUAUCUAUUUUACAACAGAAUUCCCGUCCUGGGAGCUGGUGCCCAUCUUUAUAACAAGGGGGUCUCGUUACAUGGCUUACUUUCGUCAUCAUGUUGCUCCCCUUGUCAUUUAUGAUUUCGCCUAAUUAACAUAAAAUAAAGAAUACACUUAUCAUCUCAUCAUAUAAACAAAUAAAAGUCCACAAUCUCAACCCCCUCAUAAAAAUCGAGUUGUUAAUUACCAUAUGUGCCUCCAAGACAAGUCAAAC